CCUACGGGAGGCAGCAGUGAGGAAUAUUGGUCAAUGGGAGAGAUCCUGAACCAGCCAAGCCGCGUGAGGGAAGACGGCCCUCUGGGUUGUAAACCUCUUUUGUCGGCGAAAAAAACCCGGGACGUGUCCCGGAAUGCGUGUAUCCGAAGAUAACGCAUCGGCUCACUCCGUGCAAGCAGCAGCGGUAAUACGGAGGAUGCGAGCGUUAUCCGGAUUUAUUGGGUUUAACGGGUGCGCAGGCGGAAGGUCAGGCCAGCGGGAAAAUUGAGAGGCUCAACCUCUGCGAGCCGUUGACACUGGUUGGCUAGAGUGAGUGAGAAGUAUGCGGAAUGCGUGGUGUAGCGGUGAAAUGCAUAGAUAUCACGCGGAACGCCGAUGGCGAAGGCAGCAUACCGGCGGUCAACUGACGCUCAGGCACGAAAGUGUGGGUAGCGAACAGGAUUAGAUACCCCAGUAGUC
rnacentral:rRNA from 1 species